UGUUAGCCUACUGUUAGCUGGCAGCUGGAUUAAACAGAGUUAAACUGCUGACAGCUGAACAGUGUAACGUGUGACUGUAUUUCACUGGACAGGAUUUCAACAGCGGGAUGUUAAGCAAUCUGCAGA